rnacentral:rRNA from 1 species
AUUGAACGCUGGCGGCAGGCCUAACACAUGCAAGUCGAACGGAUCCUUCGGGAUUAGUGGCGGACGGGUGAGUAACACGUGGGAACGUGCCCUUUGGUUCGGAACAACUCAGGGAAACUUGAGCUAAUACCGGAUGUGCCCUUCGGGGGAAAGAUUUAUCGCCAUUGGAGCGGCCCGCGUCUGAUUAGCUAGUUGGUGAGGUAAAGGCUCACCAAGGCUACGAUCAGUAGCUGGUCUGAGAGGAUGAUCAGCCACAUUGGGACUGAGACACGGCCCAAACUCCUACGGGAGGCAGCAGUGGGGAAUCUUGCGCAACGGGCGAAAGCCUGACGCAGCCAUGCCGCGUGAAUGAUGAAGGUCUUAGGAUUGUAAAAUUCUUUCACCGGGGACGAUAAUGACGGUACCCGGAGAAGAAGCCCCGGCUAACUUCGUGCCAGCAGCCGCCGUAA